GGUGCCUUUGAUCAUGCCACCCCUCCCUUGCUCUCUGCCGUAUGACAUCAUCACGCAGCAGUAUCGACAAUCAUCAAAGAAAGUCCCCGCGUGAGACUGUAUGUCCAUCUGGGCGUACACGUAUGAGGAAAAAAGUUUUCCAAAGGCCCUUACACAAGAACCUCCACCAAGCGCGGGCUCUUCAGUUUGACAGUACAACACUGUAUGAAGAAAGCCACAGCAGCAUGUAAAAAGAAACAACUCCAGACUUGGUCCAUCACACAACGACUCCAUCGCAGAGACCCUCAUUCGUGCAUUCAUCAACUCCCACCUUGAAUACUGUAAUGGAGCCCUAUUUUAAGGCUCCGAACCAAGCCCUAGAUAUGAGCUCCAGUACUUCCAGAAGUCUGCUGCAUGAUUUCCUAUCCGCACUAAAACCUGGUAGCACAUCAGCCCCAACCUUAUCCACUGGCAGCCAGUCAAGCCCUGUAUCACCUGGUCAAGGUCCUCUGCCUCACCUGUAUACAAGUCCCUUCAUGCCCUUGCCUCCCAGUACCUAUUUACCCCCUCCCGAAGUCUGUUCUUCUGGCACUGGACAGCUCACCAGCCCUCCCACCAGCUUGUGUCUUUGGCGGACAGAGCUUUCAGGGUGGCUGCUGCCACCAACCUCUGGAACUCCCUUCCUCCAGAGAUCCAAAAUUCUGGGUCCACCAACCCUGUACGAGUGGGUCCACUAAACGCACAAAUGUUAAGUGGACCAAGCCUAAAGACCCAUCUUUUUGGUCUCAAUUAUGUUAAUUCUGUUUUAAUUGUUUAACCCUAUAUGUACAAUGCCCUGGGUGUCCUGAAAGGCACUAUAUUAAUAAGUUUUAUGAUUUGCCAUCUUUUUAUUAUUCAUUCACUUCCAUAGUUCAUAAAAACAUAUGCAAUCAUUGAUAUUCAAAUGACAACCUCCUACUUACUACAAAUAAGCAUUAUUGUAAUUUCAGAAACAUGAAUAUAUAGUUCUUUUCAGAAAAAACUCCCUUUACUGCCCACAAAUCUUGGUGACACUCUAAAUAUGCUGAAUCCAGUAAUUGUUUAUUUGCUCUGCUGGGGAAAAUAUAAAUAUUUACAAUCAACAUGAGCUAGCCUGGUUCAACCUGUAGAGCUGAAUAGGUUGCAGAAAUAACGGCAAACUGGCUGUGCAGCAUUGAUAAGCAUUUCUCAUUAAACCAAAACCAUCUGCCAUUCACACAAUGACAUACCCUGCAAAUGAGCAAUAGAAGCUCACUCUGAGUGAAGCAAAAAUGCAGGCACACACACAAACACACAUACAUGCAAACACACACACACACACACACACACACACACACACACACAAAAUCACAAACAAGCACACUUAGUGACACACAGGGACACACACACACACUUGCAGUCUAAAUAUGUUAUUUUUUCAACUAAACUGGGACAGAUCACUAGAUAAUAUUAUAUAAUUGCAAUUAUUUAGACAUGCCCUUGGUGACAUAAGCCCCACAUUUCACCUCAGAGAGAGAGAGAGAGAGAGGGAGAAUUCCUCAUGGCUGAGGUGAGAUUACUGUCUGGGUGACAGAAGACAAAUGAGCCCCUAGAGAGCCUCAUAAAGGUCAGGUAUGGAACCAGACGGAUGGCUGUUAAUCCUGACCCCAGGGAGCCACUGCACAUCCGCCCGGGAAUGCAAGUGUUACACAUGGCUGUGACAUUUAACCUGUAUGAGCUGACAAUUGUAGGUGCCAAAAAUGUACACAUUUCUCUAGGCCUGUAGACAGACAAAAUGUCGGCUCCAUUUCUCACAGGAGCAAUUAUACGAGUGGAGGGAAUAUUUGACCAUUCACUACCCUAUAUUAAACUACAAUUAAAAUUGUAUAAAACAUUGUCGUCAUCUUUUCUGAAUUGCAGUGCUCCAAAGUCAUUAUUUGUAGUUUGGAUGAUUAUUUUUUUAGAAUGGAUAGCUGGUAAUGCACUGGUUGUUGUUGGGGCACUGAUGGGUCAGAGACAUGACAGAUCAAGUCAGUUCAAGUUACAACUUGGUCCAGUGUUUAAACAAAUGGUCAUCACCCAAAAGAACAAUUAAAUUAUUUAUUAAUUGAAAGUGUGAAAUUAAACUUGCAAUAGGAAAUGUUGUUAAAUAGGUGUGGCCCAUUUAGCCAACGACCCCAUUCACCAUGUCUGCAAAACAUGAGCACAAGGCAAGUAGGGCGGUUUCAACACUCGGAUAGCUAUUAAACGGUUCAGCAAUAUAAAAAUGUCUGUUUGGUCCCAAUAAGUCGGGCCCAAUCACUUUAAAUGGAUUAAUGAUACAUCAAACUAGCAUUACACCUAAAUCUCCACCUCAUCGCAAUGACUGUUUACCCCACCUUGUGGCUCACAGAAGAAAUAACUACUGUUCUGCUCCCAAACAUUUGCUCUUGAUCCCUCAAUGAGUAGGCUAUU